GACGUAGGGGGCGAGCGUUGUCCGGAUUUAUUGGGCGUAAAGCGUGCGUAGGCGGCGUGUUAAGUCACUUGUGAAAUCUCUAAGCUUAACUUAGAACGGUCAAGUGAUACUGAUGUGCUAGAGUGCAGAAGGGGCAACCGGAAUUCUUGGUGUAGCGGUGAAAUGCGUAGAUAUUCGCAAGAACACCAGUGGCGAAGGCGGCUCACUGGCCCGGUACUGACGCUGAGGUGCGAAAGCGUGGGGAGCAAACAGG
rnacentral:rRNA from 1 species